rnacentral:lncRNA from 1 species
GAGAGAGUUGCAAUAGAUGGAGUUAGGCAAGAGAGAGGUAUGUCACCCUCGUUUGGUUUGCUUGGGGAGAGGAAGAACUUUGUGAAAAAUGUGGGCCCUACACACUUUUUCAGGUCUCCUUCUUUUGUGAAGAGAGUGAGAGAAGUGUGCAUUCAUUUUAUCAUCUACCAUUUAUGCCCUUUAGCUUUUAUUUCUUCCAAUAUUAUAGCUCGAGCCACCGCCUCAAUUUUGCAAUUCAUUCACUCU